rnacentral:rRNA from 1 species
UAGGCCUAACACAUGCAAGUCGAGCGCCCUGCUUGCAGGGAGCGGCGGACGGGUGAGUAACGCGUGGGAACAUGCCCUUCAGUAGAGAAUAGCCACUGGAAACGGUGAGUAAUACUCUAUACGCCCUACGGGGGAAAGAUUUAUCGCUGAAGGAUUGGCCCGCGUUGGAUUAGCUAGUUGGUGGGGUAAUGGCCUACCAAGGCGACGAUCUAUAGCUGGUCUGAGAGGAUGAUCAGCCACACUGGGACUGAGACACGGCCCAGACUCCUACGGGAGGCAGCAGUGGGGAAUAUUGGACAAUGGGGGCAACCCUGAUCCAGCCAUGCCGCGUGAGUGAAGAAGGCCCUAGGGUUGUAAAGCUCUUUCAGAUGUGAGGAUGAUGACAGUAACAUCAGAAGAAGCCCCGGCUAACUUCGUGCCAGCAGCCGCGGUAAUACGAAGGGGGCUAGCGUUGUUCGGAUUUACUGGGCGUAAAGGGCGUGUAGGCGGACGAUCAAGCUAGAGGUGAAAGCCCAGGGCCCAACCCUGGAACUGCCUUUAGAACUGAUUGUCUAGAAUCCGUAAGGGGAGUGUGGAAUUCCUAGUGUAGAGGUGAAAUUCGUAGAUAUUAGGAAGAACACCAGUGGCGAAGGCGGCACUCUGGUACGGUAUUUGACGCUGAGGCGCGAAAGCGUGGGAGCAAACAGGAUUAGAUACCCUG